rnacentral:rRNA from 1 species
GGAUGCGAUCAUACCAGCACUAAUGCACCGGAUCCCAUCAGAACUCCGCAGUUAAGAGUGCUUGGGCGAGAGUAGUACUAGGAUGGGUGACCUCCCGGGAAGUCCUCGUGUUGCAUCCCUUU